UCAGCCACACUGGGACUGAGACACGGCCCAGACUCCUACGGGAGGCAGCAGUGGGGAAUAUUGGACAAUGGGCGCAAGCCUGAUCCAGCAAUACCGCGUGUGUGAAGAAGGCCCUAGGGUUGUAAAGCACUUUCAAUGGGGAGGAAAACCUGCCGGUCAAUACCCGGUAGCUUGACAUUACCUUUAGAAGAAGCACCGGCUAACUCCGUGCCAGCAGCCGCGGUAAUACGGAGGGUGCGAGCGUUAAUCGGAAUUACUGGGCGUAAAGCGUGCGUAGGCGGUUCGUUAAGUCAGAUGUGAAAGCCCCGGGCUCAACCUGGGAACUGCAUUUGAAACUGGCGGACUAGAGUUUAGUAGAGGGGAGUGGAAUUUCAGGUGUAGCGGUGAAAUGCGUAGAUAUCUGAAGGAACACCAGUGGCGAAGGCGACUCCCUGGACUAAAACUGACGCUGAGGUACGAAAGCGUGGGUAGCAAACAGGAUUAGAUACCCUGGUAGUCCACGCCGUAAACGAUGUCGACUAGCCGUUGGUCCUAUUUACAGGAUUAGUGGCGCAGCAACGCAUUAAGUCGACCGCCUGGGGAGUACGGCCGCAAGGUUAAAACUUAAAGGAAUUGACGG
rnacentral:rRNA from 1 species